rnacentral:lncRNA from 1 species
UUUGGGAGAGGUAGGAGAGAGGAUGAAGCAAUAAAGAGAAGAGGGGAAGAGAGACGAGAAGAUUAGGCAACAUAGAGAAGAGGGAGGAGAAAGGGGAUUCGGCAGAGGGGACUAAGGAAAUAUUCGGUAAAAAAACAAGAAGAAAAAGAAUAAAAGGGAAAAACAGGAAAACAAAUGAGCAAACCCGAGAGGUACUCAAAGUCUUUAGCAAAAAUCAGCACUAGCAAAAAGGUGAAAGAAAAACUGACCAAAGACGAAGCAAACAGAGGGAACUACAACCCCAAAACCGAUUCCCUCAAUGCCUAAGACCAAAUUCGGCAUAAGCAUAACCCCAAACGGCACAACUCCCCUCACUCACAA